rnacentral:rRNA from 1 species
UACGUAGGGACCAAGCGUUGUUCGGAUUUACUGGGCGUAAAGGGCGCGUAGGCGGACAGUUUAGUCAGAGGUGAAAGCCCAGGGCUCAACCUUGGAAUUGCCUUUGAUACUGGCUGUCUUGAGUUCGGGAGAGGUGAGUGGAAUGCCGAGUGUAGAGGUGAAAUUCGUAGAUAUUCGCAAGAACACCAGUGGCGAAGGCGGCUCACUGGCCCGAUACUGACGCUGAGGCACGAAAGCGUGGGGAGCAAACAGGG